CGUAUCACGUUGAUACACCGGUUCCUGUGCGAUCACCAAAGUUAAGCAACGUCGAGCCUUGUUAGUACCUAGAUGGGUGACCGCUUGAGAAUAUCUGGU